AUGCCUUCCCUGGGAAAAGCGGUAGAACAUCCUGAUCUCAAAGGAGAGCCUUGCUUUUUCUGUGCUGAGUCUAUAAGCAAAGAGGGGGUGCCCAGUACACUUGAGAUGCGUCCCAAGGUCGCCAAUGACCAGUACUAUAAGCCUAUUACUGGUUACGGCGAUAAGAUCCUAACAAACGGCCGGCCGGUUUACAUUUACAACAAAAAAAGAAAAGAUAAGGCAAUUAAGGGAUGA